ACCACCAUCACCAUCAUCCUCCACAUCACCAUCACCAUCAUCACCACCGUCAUCACCACCACCACUACCACCAUCACCGCCAUCAUUUUCAUCACCGUUGCCACUACCACCACUAUCAUCGUCAUCAUCCUGUAACUGUGGAAGCGCUUCCUCGAGGCGUCAUAGUGAGAACAAGAGACCCAAUAAUGAGACAGCAAUAACUGGCAGAAAAGAUGGGUUUCCUCAUGUCAAAGAUGAAAAACUAAAAUUUGAAUCAGGCCGAAUGAUUACGAAGAACAAAAUCAGCCAGGACAGCCUAAGAUGAAAAGCUGGCAGAAAAUUCAGCCGAAUUUGCAAAAAGACACCUACCACAUAUCUGUCACGCCCUCGAAGAGCUCACAUCCUGAAAGUGCUCCCACAAAUAGUGAGCUGUGUCCUCCGUGCUGUCCUCCGCUCCUGAAACUUGCAGGUCGGGACUUGAGUCCGACCAAAUUAUGCAAAGGGCAGAAAACUGUUUGUAAUCACUCCCAUCAUUGCACAUCUGUGCUUGAACUCAGUAAUGUGGUCCUAAAAUAUUAUUCUCCAAAUGGCAAAAGUGACAGACAAGUCGAGAAGAACCAACCUUAAUCAGAAACCGUCUAAUACCUGGAAAUUGGUGGAGAAGUGAAAUCGCAAAGGAAAAGGCACCUGUCCUUGCGUUUUUUGGCUUGUCCCCGUCUGGAGCUCUGCUGUGGCCUGUCAGUAGGGACAUAAGACAUUGGAGUAGUCCUGGAAGUUGAAAUCUUCGCAUUUUAUUCAUUCCCUGGAA